rnacentral:pre_miRNA from 1 species
AUUGUACUCCCUCCGUUCGGAAUUACUUGUCGAAGAAAUGAAUGUGUCUAGAUGUAUUUUAGUUAUAGAUACAUCCAUUUUUGUGACAAGUAAUUCCGAAUGGAGGGAGUAAUUU